rnacentral:lncRNA from 1 species
UUUUUCCAUCAAUCGAAACCAUGUCCGCAUCGAAGCUUACUCUGACGCUGCUAGUCCUGGUGGUGGCCCUGGUGGCCUUCGCCAGUGCCCAAUGGCCCCCGGUGAAGUCCGGUCCCGGUGACAAACGGUGCUACUGCUUCCGAACGUUCACUCCGGUGUGCGGUACCGACAACAAGAACUAUCUGAGUCUGUGCCAUCUGCAGUGUGCCAAGCAUUUCUACGAGGUUGAUGUCAAGAGCAAUGGGCUGUGCCCCGGGGGCAACGAUAACAUCGUUCUGGGGGAUAUUGAUCCGAGUGCUUUCCCGUGGAGUGGCUGAAGUAGGAAGGUGCUGGUGAAGUGAGGUGAACACGUAAAAUCAUAGAAAGUGAAUCUGUUUUCAAUUAUUUUGUGUGUGUAAUAA